rnacentral:rRNA from 1 species
UGGGGAAUUUUGGACAAAGGGCGAAAGCCUGAUCCAGCAAUGCCGCGUGUGUGAAGAAGGCCUUCGGGUUGUAAAGCACUUUUGUCCGGAAAGAAAUGGCUCUGGUUAAUACCUGGGGUCGAUGACGGUACCGGAAGAAUAAGGACCGGCUAACUACGUGCCAGCAGCCGCGGUAAUACGUAGGGUCCAAGCGUUAAUCGGAAUUACUGGGCGUAAAGCGUGCGCAGGCGGUUGUGCAAGACCGAUGUGAAAUCCCCGAGCUUAACUUGGGAAUUGCAUUGGUGACUGCACGGCUAGAGUGUGUCAGAGGGGGGUAGAAUUCCACGUGUAGCAGUGAAAUGCGUAGAGAUGUGGAGGAAUACCGAUGGCGAAGGCAGCCCCCUGGGAUAACACUGACGCUCAUGCACGAAAGCGUGGGGAGCAAACAGG